UACGAAGGGGGCUAGCGUUGCUCGGAAUUACUGGGCGUAAAGGGCGCGUAGGCGGCCCUGUUAGUCAGGCGUGAAAUUCCUGGGCUCAACCUGGGGACUGCGCUUGAUACGGCAGAGCUUGAGGAUGGAAGAGGGUCGCGGAAUUCCCAGUGUAGAGGUGAAAUUCGUAGAUAUUGGGAAGAACACCGGCGGCGAAGGCGGCGACCUGGUCCAUUACUGACGCUGAGGCGCGACAGCGUGGGGAGCAAACAGG
rnacentral:rRNA from 1 species